UACGAAGGGUCCAAGCGUUGUUCGGAAUCAUUGGGCGUAAAGCGCGUGUAGGCGGCUAUGUAAGUCGGAUGUGAAAUCCCUCGGCUCAACCGAGGACGUGCACCCGAUACUGCUUAGCUUGAGUACUGGAGGGGGUGGCGGAAUUCCCGGUGUAGAGGUGAAAUUCGUAGAUAUCGGGAGGAACACCUGUGGCGAAGGCGGCCACCUGGACAGUAACUGACGCUGAGACGCGAAAGCGUGGGUAGCAAACAGG
rnacentral:rRNA from 1 species